UUGAGAGUACUACUCAUUUACUCUAGCUUAUCUACGAGUUGCGGUUGGAUUUAUCAAUGAGAUUUGUUUUUUGUCUAUAAGAGUUACCUGGUAUGCAUUAUUGCAUACGUCCUAGACCACAUCCAACAUACUUGAUCUGUUAUUUUUUUCCUCAUUUUGUUUCCAAUUACAGUAUCAUUAAUCUUUGGCUUUAUAUUAGAAAAAAUCAUGCCUCCUUUUAUAGAUCAGAAGCAUCUACGGAUCCAUGAACAUGCCCUCCUUUCUUUCAAUCAUGGUGUAAAAUAUGUGAUCGGUUAUUGCAACAAGGUAAGUUAUGAUAAAUGCAUAUAUGUACAUGUUCCGCUGCUCAGUAUAUAUAGUGAAGUCCCGUUGGCGUAUGUAUUAUUACCCUGGUGUUACAUUUAAUCUAUUAGGAUCUGUCCUCACAUACAUACACACAGAGAGAUUUCAGAUGUGCACAUUCUGUACCUUUUCGUUAACAAGGAUUUAGUUGAUUUGUUCUUUAGUUUUUGUUUCCAGAAAUUUCAGCUAAGAUAUAAAGGCCAGAAAAGGUUGAGCAAAAGAAUGUGUGUAUUGCUGCAACUGAUAAAGGCUUGUCUGGUGUGAAAUUGUGCGCCAGAUUAUUAUCAGGAAACCCACUGCAGAGACUGAUGCUCAGUGAUACACACUUUGAGAUCAUUUCGAAGCAAGCUAAAGUAGGUUGUUCUGAUUGAUAUAGGAGGUGAAGCAUUUGAACAUUGAAGUCUCCAGAGUAUAAGCGCCUGAAAUUAUUGCUGAAGUAAAUUAGGAAGGUUAUCUUGCAGCUUCAUGUGCUAUUUUUUUAUCCUCUGAAAGUAUAUGCAAUA